rnacentral:misc_RNA from 1 species
CUCUAAUCUCGGUUGUGUUUGGUGUACCUCAUUUAUUGAUGAGAUUUUAGGACUCAGUACAUCAUUUUUUCUGCAAUAUCUGUAUUCGAAUUACAUGCUGUAAUCAUGGGCAGUUUAAUUUCUCUGAUGGUCAUCAAACUUAUCAUUGAUUUCAACAUGUUCACUAAGUUUCAAACUUUAUCAAUAAAAUUGCUUAACUUUAAUUUCUGUUUUAAGUCACUGUUGCUAGAUCUUGGUAGAAUUUCAGCCAUAUUUUUUACAUGAUAACCAAGUCAAGUUUUUUCAGUAUAGUUUUAUGGACUGUAGUGCUGUCAUACUUGGUAACAAGUUAUUACAUAGAAAAAUUUGGCUAAAUCUCUACAAAAACUAGCAAUAGCGACCUUAAUGAAACAAAACAAAGGGGGAGUAAUUUUGCUAAUAUAAAUUGAAAUUCAGUUGCGAUACUGAGAUUUGGUGAUAAGUUUAAUGACUGGGUGAAAUUAUUUACUUCUCUGUCUUGUAUGUGUCUGCUGCGCAUACGUGAUUUCAGUGACAAUAGUAGCUAACAUUUGACAGGAUUGAAUUUAUCUGUCCAUUGCUUGAAUGUUUAAACUUACAUGUGUUUGUAUCAAUUUUUAAUUGUUAUUUGCUCGGAUUCAUGACAUCAUGUGCAGAUUGGAGAGGACAAGGAUCUU